rnacentral:rRNA from 1 species
AUAGUUUGAUGAUGGCUCAGAUUGAACGCUGGCGGCAGGCCUAACACAUGCAAGUCGAGCGGAAACGAUCCUAGCUUGCUAGGAGGCGUCGAGCGGCGGACGGGUGAGUAAUGCAUAGGAAUCUGCCCGGUAGUGGGGGAUAACCUGGGGAAACCCAGGCUAAUACCGCAUACGCCCUACGGGGGAAAGCAGGGGAUCUUCGGACCUUGCGCUAUCGGAUGAGCCUAUGUCGGAUUAGCUUGUUGGUGAGGUAAUGGCUCACCAAGGCGACGAUCCGUAGCUGGUCUGAGAGGAUGAUCAGCCACAUCGGGACUGAGACACGGCCCGAACUCCUACGGGAGGCAGCAGUGGGGAAUAUUGCGCAAUGGGGGCAACCCUGACGCAGCCAUGCCGCGUGUGUGAAGAAGGCCUUCGGGUUGUAAAGCACUUUCAAUUGGGAAGAAAGGUUGGCGCCUAAUACGCGUCAGCUGUGACAUUACCUUUAGAAGAAGCACCGGCUAACUCCGUGCCAGCAGCCGCGGUAAUACGGAGGGUGCAAGCGUUAAUCGGAAUUACUGGGCGUAAAGCGCGCGUAGGCGGUUUGUUAAGUCGGAUGUGAAAGCCCCGGGCUCAACCUGGGAAUUGCAUUCGAUACUGGCCGACUGGAGCGCGAGAGAGGGAGGUAGAAUUCCACGUGUAGCGGUGAAAUGCGUAGGUAUGUGGAGGAAUACCGGUGGCGAAGGCGGCCUCCUGGCUCGACACUGACGCUGAGGUGCGAAAGCGUGGGGAGCAAAC